rnacentral:rRNA from 1 species
AAACUGGAGAGUUUGAUCCUGGCUCAGAGCGAACGCUAGCGGCAAGCUUAACACAUGCAAGUCGAGCGCGUGGCUU